rnacentral:rRNA from 1 species
GUUUGAUCCUGGCUCAGGACGAACGCUGGCGGCGUGCCUAACACAUGCAAGUCGAGCGAAUGAAGUUCCUUCGGGAACGGAUUUAGCGGCGGACGGGUGAGUAACACGUGGGCAACCUGCCUCAUAGAGGGGAAUAGCCUUCCGAAAGGGAGAUUAAUACCGCAUAAGAUUGUAGUACCGCAUGGUACAGCAAUUAAAGGAGCAAUCCGCUAUGAGAUGGGCCCGCGGCGCAUUAGCUAGUUGGUGAGGUAACGGCUCACCAAGGCGACGAUGCGUAGCCGACCUGAGAGGGUGAUCGGCCACAUUGGGACUGAGACACGGCCCAGACUCCUACGGGAGGCAGCAGUGGGGAAUAUUGCACAAUGGGGGAAACCCUGAUGCAGCAACGCCGCGUGAGUGAUGACGGUCUUCGGAUUGUAAAGCUCUGUCUUUAGGGACGAUAAUGACGGUACCUAAGGAGGAAGCCACGGCUAACUACGUGCCAGCAGCCGCGGUAAUACGUAGGUGGCAAGCGUUGUCCGGAUUUACUGGGCGUAAAGGGAGCGUAGGUGGAUAUUUAAGUGGGAUGUGAAAUACCCGGGCUUAACCUGGGUGCUGCAUUCCAAACUGGAUAUCUAGAGUGCAGGAGAGGAAAGGAGAAUUCCUAGUGUAGCGGUGAAAUGCGUAGAGAUUAGGAAGAAUACCAGUGGCGAAGGUGCCUUUCUGGACUGUAACUGACACUGAGGCUCGAAAGCGUGGGGAGCAAACAGAAGUAGAUCCCCUGGUAGUCCCCCCCCGUAAACGAAGAAUACUUAGGUGGGGGGGGUGUUCAUGCCCUCCGGUCCGCCCGCUAACGCAUUAAGUAUUCCGCUUGGGGAGUACGGUCGCAGAAUUAAAAUUCAAAGAAAUGACGGGGGCCCCGCACAAGCAGCGGAGCAUGUGGUUUAAUUGAAGCAACGCGAAGAACUUACCUUAGACUUGACAUCUCCUGAAUUACUCUGUAAUGGAGGAAGCCGCUUCGGCGGCAGGAAGACAGGUGGUGCAUGGUUGUCGUCAGCUCGUGUCGUGAGAUGUUGGGUUAAGUCCCGCAACGAGCGCAACCCUUAUUGUUAGCUGCUACCAUUUAGUUGAGCACUCUAGCGAGACUGCCCGGGUUAACCGGGAGGAAGGUGGGGAUGACGUCAAAUCAUCAUGCCCCUUAUGUCUAGGGCUACACACGUGCUACAAUGGCUGGUACAGAGAGAUGCGAUACCGCGAGGUGGAGCCAAACUUUAAAACCAGUCUCAGUUCGGAUUGUAGGCUGAAACUCGCCUACAUGAAGCUGGAGUUGCUAGUAAUCGCGAAUCAGAAUGUCGCGGUGAAUACGUUCCCGGGCCUUGCAC